CCUACGGUGGGCUGGAGUGAGGAAUAUUGGUCAAUGGGCGCGAGCCUGAACCAGCCAAGUAGCGUGAAGGAUGACUGCCCUACGGGUUGUAAACUUCUUUUAUAAAGGAAUAAAGUGAGGCACGUGUGCCUUUUUGUAUGUACUUUAUGAAUAAGGAUCGGCUAACUCCGUGCCAGCAGCCGCGGUAAUACGGAGGAUCCGAGCGUUAUCCGGAUUUAUUGGGUUUAAAGGGAGCGUAGAUGGGUUGUUAAGGCCGUGGUGAAAGUUUGCGGCUCAACCGUAAAAUUGCGAUUGUUACGGUCAGCCUUGAGUACAGUUGAGGUAGGCGGAAUUCGUGGUGUAGCGG
rnacentral:rRNA from 1 species